ensembl:lncRNA
GAAUCCUUAAUGAUGCACAUGGUUUUCUGUUUCACCUCAAAAAUUACUUUUCCUAUUUGUUUAUCAUUACAUGACAGUAGACCAGCACAGAGUUGAUAUAUGAUGGAUAUGCUACACUAUGUUGUGUUACUGUAUAUAACAAAUAACAGAUCUAUCUUUGUGUAUUUAGGAACAUGGGGCUGCAGAUGAUUUUAUUCUGUUGGGACUGUGACCACAGGAUUUAGAAUGAGUCCUGGCUCAGGUUUUGGUAUUUCAAUAUUGUACAGGUUACGUUUGACUACUUUUCCAAACUUUAAUCUGUCAUGUCCACCUCCACUGACAAAUACAUGGCACUAAUUGACAAUUUGGGUUUUAAAUAGGUACUGUCAGUGAGGCAUCCUAUCACGCUACAUUAGCUGAUUAUUUAUGUAGCUCUAUUGUUCUGGAGGGAGGCCUAUCACUCUUAGUGUAAUAACAUUUUAAUGGUGUAUUUUGUUGAUAUCAUUUCAAAGUGGAAACAAUUAUUCGACAGGAAUGUGAAAAUGUGGUUGCAAGGCAUUGUGGGUAGUGUGUAGAGAGCCUACCCGGAUGAGAACAACGCAUCGGCUCGUGCCAUCUUUCGUGGAUUAUUGUGUCAAACAGGUAACAGCAUCCUCCGACACCUGGGAGCAGCUCAGCAUCAGCGCCGGGUACAGACGAUAUUAAAGAAACGAGGCGUCGAGAGAAUCGUCGCUGAGAAGAGACGUAUUUACUGAAGCUGUCAGGACAGAGAGAUGGAGCCCAAACCUCGGGUGUGUUACAAUGUAGCCUCUCAAAAAGCUGUUUUAAUUGACACCCAUUAACUGUUUUUGUAGGUGUUGGAUUGGUGAUGAAGACGGUAUGGCUGUAUAUGUGUGUAUAUAUUAUUUUUAAUGAGAAAUAAACUUUUAGAGCUGUGAAAAAUGUGACAUCAUGCAAGUGCUAAUGAGAUUUUGAGGGCUGCUUGCAAAAUGUUUAAGUGGCGAUAGGUUGGAUUAUAAAGCCCUGAAAUGGCCACAAUAUAUCUGCAGGAGCGUAAUAGUAUUGUUCCUUAAUACAACCAAUACUUAAGAAUUCUAGCUCACUUGUAAAACAAAAUGAUUAAGAUACUUUCUAUCACACUUUGUAGGCUAUACAUUUAUUUUUACUUUUAGUUUGACUAGUUUUUAUUGCUAUUUAUAUCUUUUACUAGAAAGUGAUGGGUGAUCGUCUCCGCCAGUCAAAGUGACCGUCAAUGGUAGGAACUGCUUCAUCAUCUGUUUUUGUAAAGCAGUGAUGUACAUUUUUAAACGUGUGGGUUCACAUGAGGCAAUGCCGUAAUAUUCAUGCCUGUUGAUUUAUAUUGCACUUGUCUUUGGUCUCGUUUUUAUGGAAGCUUAAAUUACAUUUGUUUGGUGGAAGCAGAAGCUGUGCAGCUGUUAUUGAUGUUUUAGGGAGUUUGAGAUUUUCUCGCAGGGGAUUGAUGGUAUUGAGCUGAAGGAGACGGGGGAGGCAUGUGAAUGGGUUGAUGUCGACUGCGAGGUCUGUCACUUUUAACAGAUGUUUGUAUU